rfam:Oryctolagus cuniculus chromosome 15, whole genome shotgun sequence.
CUCUGUCUUCUACAAACUCAACUCGUACUCCAGGUACCAGACUGGAGAUGCUUGGCAUCAGUAUUAGACACUAACUUAAAAAAUAAA